UACGUAGGGUGCAAGCGUUGUCCGGAUUUAUUGGGCGUAAAGAGCUCGUAGGCGGUUUGUCGCGUCGGAUGUGAAAACCCAGGGCUCAACCCUGGGCCUGCAUUCGAUACGGGCAGACUAGAGUGUGGCAGGGGAGACUGGAAUUCCUGGUGUAGCGGUGAAAUGCGCAGAUAUCAGGAGGAACACCGGUGGCGAAGGCGGGUCUCUGGGCCAAUACUGACGCUGAGGAGCGAAAGCGUGGGGAGCGAACAGG
rnacentral:rRNA from 1 species